AUUCAGAUUCAGAAUCAUGGGCAUCAUGUGCCAGAUUUGCAGUAUCACUACUUUUACCCUUUUGGGCUGACUCGUUGUGCCAGCAAUCAUAAGAGUAGUGACCAUACUUCUUGCAGGUGUAACACUGUAUGUUCCGUUUAUCUGUGCCUUUUCUGCCUCUACCUCUCGGACAUCUAUCGCCUCUGCUACCUCUAUUCUCUCCAUUUUCUUCACCGCUUUGUUCUGAGUAUGUCACAUUUCUUUCUCCAUUUCGG
rnacentral:lncRNA from 1 species